rnacentral:misc_RNA from 1 species
GAAUGAGUUAAUAAUCACCAAUCUCCUUGAUAGAGGCUUUUCUUCCCUAUCUAGGAAGGACUCUUUUCUAGGGUUAGGGAUUGGUUUUUGUUUUUUUGUCCCUUUUGUGGAUUUUCCUGGUUGGUUUUCUCCUUCCUUUCUUUUUUCUAUGAGAUUGUUUGGGGUUCAGUCGGCGGGUUUGUGUUUUCUAUUGACUAUUCUGUGCCAAUUUUGUUUUGGUUAUAUGGCGUAAGAUUUAGAAAAGUAAUGGGAACGUUUUAAGCUAAUUGAUAAGGAAUCUCAGAUUUUAGAUUUGGAUCUGUUAGCGUCUGAUACUAUGGCAGGGCGUUAUGCUAAAUCUCUUAUGGGUCGAUUGCUGUCUGUCAAGCCUUAUGAUAUAAGUGGCUUGAGCGAAGCCAUGAUGAGCGCAUGGUGUCUACCAUGUAAGUUUACUAUUCAGAAUUUCUCAAACGAGAUGUUUGUGUGUGAGUUUGAAAUGAGAUCAGAUAAAAUGAAGGUCUUGAGAGAAGGACCAUGGCAUUUUAAUAAACAUAUCUUACUUUUUAAAGAGAUUGUUGGUUCAGAGCAGCCUUCCUCGAUGAUUAUUCAGGAGUGUAGUUUUUGGAUGCAUCUAUGUAAUUUGCCUUUUAACUGUUGAGGUCUCUCUUCAAUCCAAAAGGCUACUGUAGUGAUUGGGAAAGUUCAAGAGGUGAAUGUAGCAGAUGUUGAGGCUUGGGGCAAGGCAGUUCGAGUUUGAGUUUGAGUUUGUAUUGAUGUUUCUAAACAAUUAAAGAGAGGAGUUAUGCUGAAGAGGUUGACUGAAUAGAAUGUUUGGGCCUAUUUCAAGUAUGAGAGAUUACCAAACUUUUUGUUAUUUGUGUGGUUGCUUGGAUCAUGUGUUGGAUGACUGCGAAUUACACAAUGAUGAGGUUGUUGGGAAUGAGUGGCCCUAUGGACCUAGUUUGCUCUCUUCUCCUUUUUCUCAUAAGAUGUUUACUAGACACUCUAGGCAUGAGGAGGGUGUUCGAUCCCCAAGUGGUGGUGUAAGUUAGUUCCCUGUUCUUCUGUGGUUCGGCGCCAACUCCAUUUAGAUGAUCCAUCUGCGAGAGAAGAGAGUUCAGAAACUAAAAAUAAUCCUUCUUUUGCUGGUGUUCUACACCAUGACCAAUGAUCAGUUUACCAGGGUCGUGAGCUUGUCCUGGUUUCAUUAAUAGAGCAGUCUUGUGAUUUGGUGAAGGAGAAUAUUGUUAUAGAAAAUGAGGUUAUGGUUAUACCGGAAUGUAGGGAGGUGGGUGGUUUUGAGAGUGGGUUUUUAGCUCAAAGAAACCUCACAGAGGGAGGCCAAAGAAGACUCUAAUGUCUCUUCCAUUAUUUUGCUAAAGGGUAAGAAACAUUCUUGGAAAAGGAGGGCUAGAGGUAGCGGGGGGAAUGAAUCUGAUGCUGUGAUGGUUUCUGCUAGACCACAGAGCCCUUGCAGUUUGAAGAGGAAGGAGUUUAGUGGUGUGGAUAGGGCUAUACAAGGUUUUACUAGAGAUGAUUUUUCUGUUAAGAAACUCAUUAUUACAGAUGGUCAGUUUCCAACUUGUUCUUGUUAAGCAGUGGCUGCUCUGCAGCACUGCCAAUUUCCAUAAAACUCAUAAAUUGGAAUCUUCGAGGGCUGGGCAAUCCUCAAAUGGUUCGCGCACUCCGCCAAUUGGUGAGAAAUAACUUCCCUGAUAUUUUAUUAUUAAUGGGAACUCGUUUGCAUUCUUUUGAGUUUGUUAGUAUUUGUUGAAGCUUUCUUCAUUUUAAUUUUUUUAUUGUGGAUGCACAAGGAAGAGCUAGUGGUUUAGUUUUGUUGUAGUGAAAGUAAAUGAAUUUGAUUGUGUUGAAUUUUUCAUUGCACUACAUAGAUUUCUCUGUUGUAGCGGAUGGUUCUGGGCUUAUUUGGAAAGGUACACGUGUAUAUGGUUAGCCAGAAUCCUAAAAUAAAGCUCUUACAUGAAGUUUGCUCAGGUCUUUGAGGAAUUCUUCAUCUCUUCCUUGGUUAGUUUUCGAUGAUUUUAAUGAGGUUUUGUUCAGCUUUGAGAAAAAAGCCGGUUUGGCAGGCAAAAUAAUUCAAUGGACUCUUUUCGCUCUACUCUUGCUUCUUGUCAAUUAUCAGAUCUAGGAUUUUUGGGUUACCAAUACACUUGGGAUAAUGGACGAGGAGGAAAUGCCAACAUCCAAGAGCAUUUGGAUCAUUUUCUAGCUGAUGAUUCUUAGGCUGAAUUGUUUGGGUUAGUGGGAGUCGCUCAUCUCCCUUGGAUGGUUUCGGAUCAUUGUCCUAUGAUGAUGCAAAUUGCUAUUGCAGACAUUCCUUAAGUAACCACUCUCAGCGGUUUCGGUUUGAAGAGAUGUGGGUACUUGAUGAGAGUUGUAUGGAUGUCAUCCGGCAGUCAUGGGAUGGAGGUGUUGACUCAAAUAGGGUUUCUUGUGGGAGGGUGGUGUUGGAGUACUUUUGUGAUCUUUUUGCUAAUACUGCUUCAUUGCAUUAUGAUGCUACUAUUCAUUCCAUACAGUCUUCUCUUUUAGAUGAAUUGAGGGAAUCUCUCGAGGUACCCUUUUCUUCAGAUGAGGUUGUUUUAGCUUUAAAACAUAUGCAUCCAGUGAAGGCCCUUGGACUUGAUGGUAUGCCAGCUUUAUUUUAUCAAAAAUAUUGGGAUAUUAUUGGGCCUAAUGUGACUUGAUGUGUGCUUUAGUUCUUAAAUUCAGGUCAGAUGCCUCCUGGAAUCAACCAUACUUUUGUUACUUUAAUUCCGAAGGUUAGUAAUCCAGAAGAGAUAAAGGAUUUAUGAUCCAUUAGCCUAUGUAAUGUUUUGUACAAAUUGAUGUCCAAGGUCUUGGCUAACCGGUUAAAGACAGUUCUUCCUACUUUGGUUUGUGAGUCUGAGAAUGCCUUUAUUGCUGGAAGGUUAAUAACUGAUAAUGCUUUGGUGGCAUUUGAGAUAUUCCAUUCAAUGAAGAACAGAAUUAGAGGAAGGAAGGGCAAUUUUGCAAUGAAGUUGGAUAUGAGUAAGGCCUACGAUUUGGUAGAAUGGGGGUUCUUGGAGCAAGUCAUGAUUAAAAUGAAUUUCCCUUCUCAUUUUAUUCAUUUGAAUAUGGUCUGUCUUUCUUCAUUGACCUUUUCUUUUCUAGUGAAUGGUAGGCCUUUUGAGAACCUUUCACCACAGUGUGGGCUUCAUCAGGGGGAUCCCAUUUCACCCUACCUGUUUUUAUUGUGUGCUAAAGGGUUCUUUUCUUUGAUUGUCCAAGCAGUGCAAAAUUGUUUAAUGCAUGGUAUGAAAGUUUGCUAGGCUAGUCCUCCAAUCUCUUAUCUAUUCUUUGCUAAUGACAGUGUUUUGUUUGCUCGAGCUUCAAGGGCAGAAUGUAUUCAGCUGAAGUGGGUUCUUACUUAGUGUGAGAUGGCAUCUGGGCAACACAUUAAUUAUGAUAAAACCAAACUCUCAUUUAGCUACAAUGUUCCGACUGUGAUGCAUAAUUGGAUUUGUGAUUUUUUUUGUGUGAGAAUGGUGGGCCAUUAUUCAAAAUAUUUGGGUUUUCCUACUUUAAUUGGUAGAUCUAAACGAGCAAUUUUUUUUUGUCUCUCUUAAGGAUCAUGUUUGUAGGAGAGUUCAGGGUUGGAAGACUCGGUUUCUCUCUCAAGCUGGGAAGAGGUGUUGGUUAAAUCGAUUGCUCAAUCGAUUCCUACAUAUAUUAUAAGUUGCUUUGCUUUGCUGGCUACCUUCUGUGAUGAGCUUGAAUGCAUUGUAAGGAAUUUCUGGUGGAGUAAUAUGGAGAGCAUUAAAGAAAUUCCAUGGAUUAGCUGGGAUCGGAUGUGUGGGGCAAGGCACAAGGUGGUAUGGGAUUUAGAGAGUUAAAGAGUUUUAAUAUCGAUUUAUUGGCCAAGCAAGGAUGGAGACUAAUUAUCAACACGAAUUCGCUUUGUGCCAGAAUCUUCCAAUCAAAGUAUUAUCCAAAUAGUAAUUUUCUUGAUGCUCGAUGUGGUUCUGCUCCUAGUUAUUUAUUUGUAGUCUAUUGAAGGGAUGGGAUUUGCUUCUGGCGAGAGGGUGUUGGAAGGUAGGAUCUGGUGAUAAAAUUAAUGUUUGGACUGAUAAUUGGUUGCUUGGUCAUCAUCCUAUGAAACCUAUUGUGUUGGAUGCUAAAGUUGGGUUAUUGAUCGAUAGGGAUUGGAAGGUUGAUGUUAUUUGGAAUUCUUUUUUGCCAUUUGAACAAGAAGCCAUUUUGAGGAUUCCUCUAAGUAACUGCUUGCCUGAUGAUGAGUUUUUUUGGCCAGGAACUCGAAAUGGGGUGUAUUUGGUUAAAUCUGAGUACCGUUUUGCUCAUAUGAGCGGUCCUUAUGGAGCAAGUUCUUCGACCCUUUUAUCUAGUUUUGUAGGUUGGAAACUUAUCUGGUCAUUUAUCCAAAAGUCAUGUAUAUUGGUCAAAAGAUGUAGUACAUGUGGUGAGUUGGAUGAAACUACUCUACAUGUUCUUCAAGAUUGCCCACAAGAGGUAUUUGUCUACUUUCACCUUGGGUUUGUGGGUGAAUGGUACGAGGGAGAAUUCGCCUACACAAUGGGUGUCAAGGCUUAUACAAAUUGCUAAUAGGCAAAGUUUCCAUCAGACUAUCGUGCUAUUGUGGUUGCUUUGGCAUGAGCAGAAUAAGUUAAUGUUGGGGAAUAAAGUGAGAGAAUCACAACUAGUGGUGUCUGAUUUUCAUAAAUUCUCGACAGAAAUUAUUACAUCUGAAAUUGUUACUCAGGCUCCCAUCAUUCCUAGGCAACAUGACAAUAGAUGGUGUGUGCCACCUGUUGGUACUGUCAAGUUUAAUAUCAAUGCUUCAUUUGUGUUGGAUUCUAGCUCUAUGGGGGUUGGAUUGGUUGCUCGUGAUUCAGCUGGGGAAUUUAUCCUUGCUCUAUCCAAGGUCCUUUCGAAUGUUCACAAUGUAGAAACAACUGAAUGUGUUGCGCUGAGAUUAGGGAUGGAGUUCGCUAUUCAACGCGGUUUCAACAGAGUGUGUUUUGAAACUGAUUCUCAGCUGCUUCAUAAUGCUUUAGUUAGGAGGGACAACGGUACGAAUCCUUUUUUUCAUAUUGUUGACGAUUGUCUUCAUUUGGCCGGACAGUUUCAACAUUGUGUGUUCGCCUUCACGUGACGGUCGGGCAAUUCCUUAACAAAUGAUUUUGCGAAACUGGCUAUGCAGCAGCGAGUUGAUCUUAUUGUUCAUGAGAUUAUUCCAUCUCUUUUAUUUCCUUUGUAUUAGGGCGAUUUGUCCACCUGUUUGAAUUAGUAAUAUAAGCUGCAAAAAAAAAAAAAAACUUUUAAA